CGCCGGUUCUCCCGGUAGAAAGUUGGUGGUGCUUAUGUUGUUUUUAAGCGUUACCCGGAAAGGAUAACCUGAUGUCUGUUUAUGAAGCAUUGACGCUUUGCCUGGCUUUUGCUGGUCUCGUCGUUGCCAUCUUAAAUAGCAA
rnacentral:sRNA from 1 species